UCUAUUUUAGAAUUCUAUGAUAAUGCCUCGACCAAGUAAUCGUUAUUUAUUUAUUUAAUUAUUUGUUCCAGGGUGAGGAUCUUGGCGGCCUUGAUGUCAAAGCCCUUGAAGAAAUGCAAAAUUGUCAUGUCGAAGCCUUAUCAAAAAUAUGCCAAGAAAAGCUGAAGAACCGGACUCUGUUGAAUCAAGAGGAUGAGACCGCCAACUGAAAGUGAUUCGAUACUUUUUCUCACAUUACCAGAGGUAGGCGUUAUUUGAGUCUAGUAUUCAUGCUUUUAUCUUAUGUUUCAUGUUUCCACCAAAAAAUUCCAUUUCCGAUUGUAAUUUUUACUAUUUUUCUUAGAUAUAUGGCAUCUCUUUUUUUGGUACUGCUUAGUUUUGAACCCUUAGACCUCCAAUUUGAAGGUCAAAGGAAAACACCA